rnacentral:rRNA from 1 species
GAUGAACGCUAGCUACAGGCUUAACACAUGCAAGUCGAGGGGAAACGACAUCGAAAGCUUGCUUUUGAUGGGCGUCGACCGGCGCACGGGUGAGUAACGCGUAUCCAACCUGCCCAUCACUUGGGAAUAACCUUGCGAAAGUAAGACUAAUACCCAAUGACAUCCCACGAAGACAUCUGAAUGGGAUUAAAGAUUUAUCGGUGAUGGAUGGGGAUGCGUCUGAUUAGCUUGUUGGCGGGGUAACGGCCCACCAAGGCAACGAUCAGUAGGGGUUCUGAGAGGAAGGUCCCCCACAGUGGAACUGAGACACGGUCCAAACUCCUACGGGAGGCAGCAGUGAGGAAUAUUGGUCAAUGGGCGAGAGCCUGAACCAGCCAAGUAGCGUGCAGGAUGACGGCCCUAUGGGUUGUAAACUGCUUUUAUAAGGGAAUAAAGUGGGUCUCGUGAGACUUUUUGCAUGUACCUUAUGAAUAAGGACCGGCUAAUUCCGUG